rnacentral:rRNA from 1 species
UACAGAGGGUGCUAGCGUUGUUCGGAAUCACUGGGCGUAAAGCGCACGUAGGCGGAUUGUUAAGUCAGGGGUGAAAUCCUGGAGCUCAACUCCAGAACUGCCUUUGAUACUGGCGAUCUCGAGUCCGGGAGAGGUGAGUGGAACUGCGAGUGUAGAGGUGAAAUUCGUAGAUAUUCGCAAGAACACCAGUGGCGAAGGCGGACUCACUGGCCCGGUACUGACGCUGAGGUGCGAAAGCCAGGGGAGCGAACGGG